GUAGCGGUCACCGCAAGGUUUUCUGUCGUCAGACAGAUUCAGACUUCAGCGCUGCGCCUGGCGUAGCGCUACCGGCCUCGCCGGACUUUGCUAACCCGCCGGUGAUUGCACCGGC
rnacentral:ncRNA from 1 species